GGAAAAAAAAAAUCCCACCCAACAAUCAAAGACUGUUGUGGCCAUGAUUUUUUGGAUUGUCUACCAUACAGCUUGGACAAUUCUUCCAAUAGUAGGCUCCAGGGAACCAUCUUUGGGCUUUAUCUCACUUACUCAGCUUCUACUCGAGACUACUGUGCAUUCUAAGCUUUCCCACAGGAUCUACAUUCUUCGCCUGCAAAACAUGUGCUUUUGCUUCUGCACCAAAAUCAAUCACAGAUCUGGGGCCCCUGAGAGGGAUGGAGGACCAAUACAACAGAAACACACCAGUGAACGUGCCGAGAAGUCUUCCUAGGAGAUUCUUCAAGAAGUAAAUUUUAAAGAGU